CACGCCGUAAACUAUGGGUGCUAGCCGUCAGGAAGCUUGCUUUUUGGUGGCGCAGCUAACGCAUUAAGCACCCCGCCUGGGGAGUACGGUCGCAAGAUUAAAACUCAAAGGAAUUGACGG
rnacentral:rRNA from 1 species